UGGGGAAUCUUGCACAAUGGGGGCAACCCUGAUGCAGCGACGCCGCGUGAGCGAUGAAGCCCUUCGGGGCGUAAAGCUCUUUCGACCGGAACGAUAAUGACGGUACCGGGAGAAGAAGCUGCGGCUAACUACGUGCCAGCAGCCGCGGUAAUACGUAGGCAGCAAGCGUUGUUCGGAGUUACUGGGCGUAAAGAGUGCGUAGGCGGUUUUCUAAGUUCGGUGUGAAAUCUCCCGGCUUAACUGGGAGGGUGCGCCGAAGACUGGGAGGCUGGAGUGUGGGAAAGGCAGGCGGAAGUCCUGGUGUAGCGGUGAAAGGCGUAGAUAUCAGGAGGAACACCGGCGGUGUAGACGGCUUGCUAGACCAUAACUGACGCUGAGGCACGAAAGCGUGGGUAGCAAACA
rnacentral:rRNA from 1 species